rnacentral:pre_miRNA from 1 species
GCCUGCCCUCCAGGAGCUUACAAUCUAGUGGGAAAGUUAGAGAGGCAACUCAAUAGACUGUGAGCUCCUUGAGGGCAAGGA